rnacentral:rRNA from 1 species
UACUACAAAUAGCUGCCUCCUUACCGGAGCACCUCARAAAGGAUUCCCAGCCGACUAGCCGUUUUCCAGGCAAGCCGGACCGAUAAGUCCUUUGGAACAGGGCAUCAUAGAGGGUGAGAAUCCCGUCUUCGGUCUGAGCAUUUGCCUUUUGCGAUACACUUUCAAAGAGUCAGGUUGUUUGGGAAUGCAGCCUAAAUUGGGUGGUAAAUCUCACCUAAAGCUAAAUAUUGGCGAGAAACCGAUAGCGAACAAGUACCGUGAGGGAAAGAUGAAAAGAACUUUGAAAAGAGAGUUAAACAGUAUGUGAAAUUGUUAAAAGGGAACCGUUUGGAGCCAGACUGGCUUGUCUGUAAUCAGUCUAAGCUUCGGCUUGGAUGCACUUGCAGGCUAUGCCUGCCAACGACAAUUUGGCUUGAGGGAAAAAACUAAGGGAAAUGUGGCCCAUCCGUGGGUGUUAUAGUCCCUUAGAAAAUACCUUGGGCUGGAUUGAGGUACGCAGCGAAUGCUAUUUGGCGAGUUGGCUGGGAAUAUUUUCUGAGGUGCUCCGGUACUGAGGUUGAUAUUUCUAGUUACACUUCUAUUCGCUUAGGUUGUUGGCUUAAUGACUCUAAAUGACCCGUCUUGAAACACGGAC